rnacentral:misc_RNA from 1 species
UUGAUUGAUUUGUUUUUUUUUUCUCAGACUGCAAAAUAAAUGUCAAGAGUUUGGACCCUCGGCGGGCAAAAGAAAACCGCGUCGGGAAGCGUCGCCAUGCCCCAAGAAAAGGCACAGCCACCCUCCCCGCAGCGUCCCGCCGAAGCAACAGGUAGGUACGCAAAGGGUGGGAGUCCGUGCAGAACACGGUGACUCGGUAAUGAUCCUUCCGCAGGUUCACCUACGGAAA